AUUGAACGCUGGCGGCAGGCCUAACACAUGCAAGUCGAGCGGAUGAAGGGAGCUUGCUCCUGGAUUCAGCGGCGGACGGGUGAGUAAUGCCUAGGAAUCUGCCUGGUAGUGGGGGAUAACGUCCGGAAACGGGCGCUAAUACCGCAUACGUCCGAGGGAGAAAGUGGGGGAUCUUCGGACCUCACGCUAUCAGAUGAGCCUAGGUCGGAUUAGCUAGUUGGUGGGGUAAAGGCCUACCAAGGCGACGAUCCGUAACUGGUCUGAGAGGAUGAUCAGUCACACUGGAACUGAGACACGGUCCAGACUCCUACGGGAGGCAGCAGUGGGGAAUAUUGGACAAUGGGCGAAAGCCUGAUCCAGCCAUGCCGCGUGUGUGAAGAAGGUCUUCGGAUUGUAAAGCACUUUAAGUUGGGAGGAAGGGCAGUAAGUUAAUACCUUGCUGUUCUGACGUUACCAACAGAAUAAGCACCGGCUAACUUCGUG
rnacentral:rRNA from 1 species